CAUGCCGUAAACGAUGAUUACUAGGUGUUGGGGGAUUGACCCCCUCAGUGCCGCAGUUAACACAAUAAGUAAUCCACCUGGGGAGUACGACCGCAAGGUUGAAACUCAAAGGAAUUGACG
rnacentral:rRNA from 1 species